ACGCUCGACACCUACGGGAAGCAGCAGUGGGGAAUAUUGCACAAUGGGGGAAACCCUGAUGCAGCGACGCCGCGUGAGUGAAGAAGUAUUUCGGUAUGUAAAGCUCUAUCAGCAGGGAAGAAAAUGACGGUACCUGACUAAGAAGCCCCGGCUAACUACGUGCCAGCAGCNGGAGUAUNGNGGCGGNGNGAGAGC
rnacentral:rRNA from 1 species